AGUACGAGAUGCUACUGCAUCGAAGCAGUCUAUGUCAUACUUCCAAGAAAAGCUUGCACUGUCAUAAACAAAGAAUGCCUGUACCAUAACCGACACAGGUGGGUAGGUAGAGUAUACUAAGGGGCGCGAGAUAACUCUCUCUAAGGAACUCGGCAAAAUGACUCCGUAACUUCGGGAGAAGGAGUGCCUUAUUUCUAAGGUUGCAAUAACAAGAUCCAAGCAACUGUUUACCAAAAACACAGGUCUCCGCUAAGUCGUAAGACGAUGUAUGGGGGCUGACGCCUGCCCAGUGCCAGAAGGUUAAAGAAGUUGGUUAGCAUUAGCGAAGCUGAUAACUGAAGCCCUGGUGAACGGCGGCCGUAACGAUAACGGUCCUAAGGUAGCGAAAUUCCUUGUCGGGUAAGUUCCGACCCGCACGAAAGGCGUAAUGAUUUGGAUACUGUCUCGGAGAGGGGCUCGGUGAAAUAGACUUGUCUGUGAAGAUGCGGACUACCUGCACCUGGACAGAAAGACCCUAUGAAGCUUUACUGUAACUUGAGAUUGAAAUUGGACUUUAUUUGCGCAGUAUAGGUGGGAGGCGUUGAGAAUAAUCUUGCGGGAUUGUUGGAGCCAUCAGUGAGAUACCACUCUUGUAAUGUUAGAUUUCUAACUUUGUAUCAUUAUCUGGUCAAAGAACAGUUUCAGGCGGGCAGUUUGACUGGGGCGGUCGCCUCCCAAAGGGUAACGGAGGCGCACAAAGGUUUCCUCUGAACGGGUAGAAAUCGUAUCUAGAGUGUAAAGGCAUAAGGAAGCUUGACUGUGAGACCUACAAGUCGAGCAGGGACGAAAGUCGGUCUUAGUGAUCUGACGGUGCUGAGUGGAAAGGCCGUCACUCAACGGAUAAAAGUUACUCUAAGGAUAACAGGCUGAUCUCCCCCAAGAGUUCACAUCGACGGGGAGGUUUGGCACCUCGAUGUCGGCUCAUCGCAUCCUGGGGCGGUAGUCCGUCCCAAGGGUUGGGCUGUUCGCCCAUGAAAGCGGUACGCGAGCUGGGUUCAGAACGUCGUGAGACAGUUCGGUCCAUAUCCGGUGUAGGCGUUAGAAUAUUGAGAGGAGCCUUCUCUAGUACGAGAGGACCGAGAAGGACAUACCUCUGGUGUACCAGUUAUCGUGCCAACGGUAAACGCUGGGUAGCUAUGUAUGGAGUGGAUAACCGCUGAAAGCAUCUAAGUGGGAAGCCCACCUCAAGAUAAGUAUUCUCA
rnacentral:rRNA from 1 species